rnacentral:rRNA from 1 species
AAUAAUUAAUAAUAUAAUAUAUAUUAUAUCACGAAGUAAGGUGAGCUAAAAGAAAUUCUAUACUAGUUGAUUUUUCUAUAUGUAGCAAUAUAUAACUAUUAUUUCCUUUUAGGAGCGAUAUACUAAUCAAAUCUUUCGAUAACUUGAUAUAUAAGAAAAAUAUUAAGUAUUUAAUCAAAUUAAAAAUGCUAAGGUUUUUAAAAAAAUAUGAUAUUUUAUAUAUAAUAUGCAUAUUAUAUAAUUAUAUAUGCCUUAUAGAUUUAAUAAUUAAUUUAAAAAAUUAUAUAUUCAAUAUUAUAUUAUAACAAAUAAUUAUAAUAGUUAUAAAUAAUGUUAUUAUUAGUAUUAAAAUAGAUUUUGUUAAGGAACUCGGCAAGAUAUUAUUCAACUGUUUAUCAAAAACAUUGCCUUGUGUAAUUAUUCAAGGUUAACCCUGCUCAAUGGAUUACUAAAUAGCCGCAGUACUUUGACUGUGCAAAGGUAGCAUAAUCAUUUGGCUUAUAAUUGAAGUCUGGUAUGAAUGGGUAAAUGGAUAAUAACUAUCUCUCCAUAAUAAACUGAAUUUACUUAUUAAGUGAAAAUUCUUAUAUAAAAAUAAUAGACGAGAAGACCCUAGAAAUUUUUUAAAUAUAUAUUAAGAUAUUCUAUUUUGUUGGGGCGACAAGGUAGCAAUGAACCUACCUAUAAAAUAUAAAAAAUUAAUGAGAUAAAUAAUUAAAUUACUCUAGGGAUAACAGCAUAAUGUAUAAGAGUUUGUGACCUCGAUGUUGGACUAGGUAAAUUAAUGUUUAAAAGAUAUUAGUUAAAGCUCUGUUCGAGCUGUUAAACCUACAUGAUCUGAGUUCAGACCGG